rnacentral:lncRNA from 1 species
UUCACAGUUUGGGGAUUGGGAACCUUGGGUAACAAAGUAAUUGUUGCACAAUUGACUGGACUAUACAUUUUGGAAGUUUGAAAAAAAUUUGUAACUGCUAACAUCACUUGCCUCCCAAUGAUAUGCCAAGACUGCUUGAAGAACAUGGCAUUGAAACCAUCUAUACCUAGAGCUUUAUCAUUUCCAAUAGCCUUCAAGCUAUCAACUAUCUCCCUUUCAGAUAUAUCAGCUA